AACGAACGCUGGCGGCAGGCCUAACACAUGCAAGUCGAACGAGAAGCCACCUUCGGGUGGUGGACAGUGGCAGACGGGUGAGUAACGCGUGGGAACGUGCCUUUCGGUUCGGGAUAACCCAGGGAAACUUGGGCUAAUACCGGAUACGCCCUCCGGGGGAAAGAUUCAUCGCCGAAAGAUCGGCCCGCGUCGGAUUAGUUAGUUGGUAGGGUAAUGGCCUACCAUGGCGACGAUCCGUAGCUGGUCUGAGAGGAUGACCAGCCACACUGGGACUGAGACACGGCCCAGACUCCUACGGGAGGCAGCAGUGGGGAAUAUUGGACAAUGGGCGAAAGCCUGAUCCAGCCAUGCCGCGUGGGUGAGGAAGGCCUUAGGGUUGUAAACCCCUUUCAGCGGGGAAGAUAAUGACGGUACCCGCAGAAGAAGUCCCGGCUAACUCCGUGCCAGCCGCCGCCGUAA
rnacentral:rRNA from 1 species